CCUACGGGCGGCAGCAGUGAGGAAUAUUGGUCAAUGGGCGAGAGCCUGAACCAGCCAAGUCGCGUGAGGGAGUACUGCCCUAUGGGUUGUAAACCUCUUUUGUCGGGGAGCAAAAGCCGGACGUGUCCGGCUGUGAGAGUACCCGAAGAAAAAGCAUCGGCUAACUCCGUGCCAGCAGCCGCGGUAAUACGGAGGAUGCGAGCGUUAUCCGGAUUUAUUGGGUUUAAAGGGUGCGCAGGCGGAUUUUUAAGUCAGCGGUAAAAUCGUGGGGCUCAACCCCAUCCAGCCGUUGAAACUGGGGAUCUAGAGUGUGCGAGAGGUAUGCGGAAGGCGUGGUGUAGCGGUGAAAUGCAUAGAUAUCACGCAGAACCCCGAUUGCGAAGGCAGCAUACCGGUGCACAACUGACGCUCAGGCACGAAAGCGUGGGUAUCGAACAGGAUUAGAUACCCGUGUAGUC
rnacentral:rRNA from 1 species